GACAGAGGGUGCAAGCGUUGUUCGGAAUCAUUGGGCGUAAAGGGCGCGUAGGCGGUUUUGCAAGUCGAAUGUGAAAGCCCAGGGCUCAACCUUGGAAGUGCAUCCGAAACUGCGAAACUUGAAUCCUGGAGAGGGUGGUGGAAUUCCCAGUGUAGAGGUGAAAUUCGUAGAUAUUGGGAGGAACACCGGUGGCGAAGGCGACCACCUGGACAGAGAUUGACGCUGAGGCGCGAGAGCGUGGGGAGCAAACAGG
rnacentral:rRNA from 1 species